GCUUUAUUGGUCACAAUUUAAAAAGUUUGGAACUGGGUCAAAACUUCAGAACUGACCAAAAGAAGAUUUUAUUGUCAAGAAAAAAAAAAGAAGAUAUUAAAGGCUAAUAUUUUGUCAUUAGAGGUUAAGUGUGGUUGUUAUUCUGUUUAGCCUGUUUUUAUUAUUAUAUCACUGUUCAAUAUGCAUAGGAAUUAAAUUACCCUGCUAAGACUGCAAAAUAACAGGCUGCUUUCCAUGGAACAGAACUAUGACAAAGACAAGCAAUUUAGUCUUUACCACAGAAUGCAGGGCUCGGUUCAGCUAAUUCAGCUUCUCUGGGCCAUAUAUUAAAAGAUGUUGCAGAGAGGUGAAAAGCAUUGGACCAUCUGAAUCAAUUAUCCAAAGAACAUUAAGCUGAUUUAUUCCAACUCUAAACCGAAAGCUUCUGCAGUAGGUCUGCUUUGUCAUCAGUUUGACUCCUGCCUAGUUUCCACAGCAGUGUUCUGAAAUAAAAUAUGUGAAUUUCUUGCAAAAUUUCAUGCAAUUUUCAGAUUCUGUGUGUGGUAAAUACUAACAUUUACAGUAAUAAAAAGAAUUCUGCUCUACAACAAUAUUUACUUUUUUGAAGUGUUAUGGAAGAAAAUGUUAAAACUCUGCCUCUCUGUUUCUGUCUGUCUCUUAGUCAUGAACUCAUUAAUACGUAUAUUACCAUCUGUCGGCCUCCCCUCCUUGCUGAGGGAUUUCAAACUGCUGAGCAUGGUUAAAUCCUUAGCCCUUGUCUUAGUGACAGAGAUACCACACAACCAAGUUGGCAUUACUGGCUCCAUGACCUGUUUCUCUUUUCUAUGGCCUAACAAAUGCUUAAGAAACAGAAGCAUGGUCUAAAAGAGAAGCAAAGAAGAUAAAUGUCUCAAUUUCUGAUGUACUUCUUCAAUAUUUCUCAAAUCUAAAAUAUAAAUCUUCUUCAAGCUUCUGAAAGCAGUUUACAUUUGGAACUGUAAAAUGGCAAAUACUGAUGAAACGAACGGCAGCCAGGAUCCAGAGGCUCCGGAGGAAGACCUGGAUGAUGAACAGCAAGCUUUGCUGCAUUUCAGUAAAUAUGGAGAAA